rnacentral:rRNA from 1 species
GGACCCGCACAAGUAGUGGAGCAUGUGGUUUAAUUCGAAGAUACGCGCAGAACCUUACCAACACUUGACAUGUUCGUCGCGACUUUAAGAGAUUAGAGUUUUCGGUUCGGCCGGACGAAACACAGGUGCUGCAUGGCUGUCGUCAGCUCGUGUCGUGAGAUGUUGGGUUAAGUCCCGCAACGAGCGCAACCCUCACUUUUAGUUGCCAUCAUUAAGUUGGGCACUCUGAAAGAACUGCCAGUGAUAAGCUGGAGGAAGGUGGGGAUGACGUCAAGUCCUCAUGGCCCUUACGUGUUGGGCUACACACGUGCUACAAUGGUAUCUACAACAGGAAGCAAUGAUGAAAAUCGGAGCCAAUCGCCAAAUUACACCUCAGUACGGAUUGGUGUCUGCAACUCGACUCCAUGAAGCCGGAAUCACUAGUAA